rnacentral:misc_RNA from 1 species
GGGGAAGCUUAAUUGAUCUAACAGACAUUAAAUUGUUGUGGUUGUCUCUAUUCCUUCAAUCCUUUGUCCAACUACCAUAUUCGACUUGCAUUUUCCUAAUCCAUUUUAGGAGAGGCUUUGAGAGCAUUAGAGUUGAUCAUGGUUGAGUUAUUAGGUUGUUUGUUUUAUCUCUGUGCCUCUGAAUUCUGCAUAUUUACCAUGCAGAAUACACCCUGAAUUACCUGUUACUUUUUUGGUGUACAAUUGAAGCUAGAUAUGUCAACGAAUUGCUUGUAUUGUUUUUAUUUUACUGUUUUCAUGCACGCCAAAUAGUGAGAUCUCUUUUUCACAAGUAGAAAAUGAGCUGAAGAUUUCAGUUUGAU